CGAACUUCGCACAAAGCAACCGUCCUCCAACAUUGACUAGCUGCUUCAGUCAUCUCGUGUCUCAUGAGUCACAAUCAGCCACAUCAGGUGUGACAUAUUUCUCUCAUUUCAGGUAACUCUCCUUCCUCCACUGCACAAUAACUCUCAAGCUGCAGCCCUUCUGAUGCCCGCUUCCGCAAGCAAAUUUCAGGGCUUUUUCAAGAAAUUAAGUUGCAAUUCCAUUUGGAAUCAGCUAAGAGGCACAUGUCGGUGACUUCGAAUGCAGCCAGAACGAUAUGACUGUACCUUGAACAUCUCUCCAGUGCAUUUCCACUGCAGUGCAAUGCUUUAAUUUACAACAAGCACGAAUGACUGCGAAGAAAAUGAGGCAUCGCUUUCCCCUUGGGCCAGCAUGCCGCAUGCAAAAUCAUAGAAAUCAGAAGGAGAAGACCAAGAGCGUGCACUUUGCCAGUCCUGCAAACGGGGCCUCCUCUGCAUCAGCUGCUUGGCUGAAGCCAAGGCCAAGUCACCCGAGCCAGCACCAGGCUGUCAUUUGGUAGACGCGAAGUGGGAAGGGGUGGGUGCGGGCUGCGAGAUACAGCUCCCCCGCCCCACGCCCGCCGCGGAGCCUUUGAAGCCGUUUGCCAAUAUUUCGGAGGAAUCCGAAGCAUAAUUCCCCUCCAUCUUCGCAGACAGCUACCGGUUCUGUACCUGAUAGAUAGUAGCUUUUCCCCAUCGCCUGGAAGCUGAGUUUUCCUGUGCAAAGACGGCUCCUGUGCCGCCUCCAAAAAUGAAACGAAAGGGAGGGGAAGUGGGUGGGAAGAUGACUCUUUUAAAAUUUUUUCUUCCCUUUUUUUCUGUCUUUUUUUUUCUUCUUUUAUUCUAGCCUGAGUAAGGUAGAUGGCUGGCUAGUCAGAGAGAAUGACAAAGCAGCCCCCCACAAGGAAGACA
rnacentral:lncRNA from 1 species